CCUACGGGUGGCAGCAGUGGGGGAUAUUGCACAAUGGGCGAAAGCCUGAUGCAGCGACGCAGCGUGAGGGAAGACGGUCUUCGGAUUGUAAACCUCUGUCUUUGGGGAAGAAUAGAGACGGUACCCAAAGAGGAAGCUCCGGCUAACUACGUGCCAGUAGCCGCGGUCAUACGUAGGGAGCGAGCGUUGUCCGGAAUUACUGGGUGUAAAGGGAGCGUAGGCGGGCUUGUAGGUUGAAUGUGAAAUCCACGGGCUCAACGGGAGAUCGCAUUCAAAACUGCAGGUCUUGAGUGAAGUAGAGGCAGGCGGAAUUCGUAGUGUAGCGGUGAAAUGCGUAGAUAUUAGGAAGAACACCGGUGGCGAAGGCGGCCUACUAAGCUGUAACUGACGUUGAGGCUCGAAAGCGUGGGGAGCAAACAGGAUUAGAUACCCGUGUAGUC
rnacentral:rRNA from 1 species